rnacentral:rRNA from 2 species
UGAAUAUGGGGGGACCAUCCUCCAAGGCUAAAUACUCCUGACUGACCGAUAGUGAACCAGUACCGUGAGGGAAAGGCGAAAAGAACCCCGGCGAGGGGAGUGAAAAAGAACCUGAAACCGUGUACGUACAAGCAGUGGGAGCCCCACCACUAAGCCAGUGGUGAACUCCACAUACGCAUCCUUUGCUGAGGAGACGGUUAACGGAGCGAAAGCGACGUUCAACCUCAAAAGAAGCAGAGGGGGCUUAGUGGUGGGGUGACUGCGUACCUUUUGUAUAAUGGGUCAGCGACUUAUAUUCUGUAGCAAGGUUAACUGUAUAGGGGAGCCGGAGGGAAACCGAGUCUUAACCGGGCGUUAAGUUGCAGGGUAUAGACCCGAAACCCGGUGAUCUAGCCAUGGGCAGGUUGAAGGUUGGGUAACACUAACUGGAGGACCGAACCGACUAAUGUUGAAAAAUUAGCGGAUGACCUGUGGCUGGGGGUGAAAGGCCAAUCAAACCGGGAGAUAGCUGGUUCUCCCCGAAAGCUAUUUAGGUAGCGCCUCGUGAAUUCAUCUCCGGGGGUAGAGCACUGUUUCGGCUAGGGGGCCAUCCCGGCUUACCAACCCGAUGCAAACUGCGAAUACCGGAGAAUGUUAUCACGGGAGACACACGGCGGGUGCUAAUGUCCGUCG